rnacentral:rRNA from 1 species
UACAGAGGUCUCAAGCGUUGUUCGGAUUCAUUGGGCGUAAAGGGUGCGUAGGUGGCGGGGUAAGUCAGGUGUGAAAUUUCGGAGCUUAACUCCGAAACUGCAUUUGAUACUGCCUUGCUUGAGGACUGGAGAGGAGACUGGAAUUCACGGUGUAGCAGUGAAAUGCGUAGAUAUCGUGAGGAAGACCAGUGGCGAAGGCGGGUCUCUGGACAGUUCCUGGACACUGAGGC